rnacentral:rRNA from 1 species
UUUACAAUGAAGAGUUUGAUCCUGGCUCAGGAUGAACGCUAGCUACAGGCUUAACACAUGCAAGUCGAGGGGCAGCAUUUUAGUUUGCUUGCAAACUGAAGAUGGCGACCGGCGCACGGGUGAGUAACACGUAUCCAACCUGCCGAUAACUCCGGAAUAGCCUUUCGAAAGAAAGAUUAAUACCGGAUAGCAUACGAAUAUCGCAUGAUAUUUUUAUUAAAGAAUUUCGGUUAUCGAUGGGGAUGCGUUCCAUUAGUUUGUUGGCGGGGUAACGGCCCACCAAGACUACGAUGGAUAGGGGUUCUGAGAGGAAGGUCCCCCACAUUGGAACUGAGACACGGUCCAAACUCCUACGGGAGGCAGCAGUGAGGAAUAUUGGUCAAUGGGCGAGAGCCUGAACCAGCCAAGUAGCGUGAAGGAUGAAGGCUCUAUGGGUCGUAAACUUCUUUUAUAUGGGAAUAAAGUUUUCCACGUGUGGAAUUUUGUAUGUACCAUAUGAAUAAGGAUCGGCUAACUCCGUGCCAGCAGCCGCGGUAAUACGGAGGAUCCGAGCGUUAUCCGGAUUUAUUGGGUUUAAAGGGAGCGUAGGUGGAUUGUUAAGUCAGUUGUGAAAGUUUGCGGCUCAACCGUAAAAUUGCAGUUGAAACUGGCAGUCUUGAGUACAGUAGAGGUGGGCGGAAUUCGUGGUGUAGCGGUGAAAUGCUUAGAUAUCACGAAGAACUCCGAUUGCGAAGGCAGCUCACUAGACUGUCACUGACACUGAUGCUCGAAAGUGUGGGUAUCAAACAGGAUUAGAUACCCUGGUAGUCCACACAGUAAACGAUGAAUACUCGCUGUUUGCGAUAUACAGUAAGCGGCCAAGCGAAAGCAUUAAGUAUUCCACCUGGGGAGUACGCCGGCAACGGUGAAACUCAAAGGAAUUGACGGGGGCCCGCACAAGCGGAGGAACAUGUGGUUUAAUUCGAUGAUACGCGAGGAACCUUACCCGGGCUUAAAUUGCAACAGAAUAUAUUGGAAACAGUAUAGCCGUAAGGCUGUUGUGAAGGUGCUGCAUGGUUGUCGUCAGCUCGUGCCGUGAGGUGUCGGCUUAAGUGCCAUAACGAGCGCAACCCUUAUCUUUAGUUACUAACAGGUUAUGCUGAGGACUCUAGAGAGACUGCCGUCGUAAGAUGUGAGGAAGGUGGGGAUGACGUCAAAUCAGCACGGCCCUUACGUCCGGGGCUACACACGUGUUACAAUGGGGGGUACAGAAGGCGGCUACCUGGUGACAGGAUGCUAAUCCCAAAAACCUCUCUCAGUUCGGAUCGAAGUCUGCAACCCGACUUCGUGAAGCUGGAUUCGCUAGUAAUCGCGCAUCAGCCAUGGCGCGGUGAAUACGUUCCCGGGCCUUGUACACACCGCCCGUCAAGCCAUGAAAGCCGGGGGUACCUGAAGUACGUAACCGCAAGGAGCGUCCUAGGGUAAAACUGGUAAUUGGGGCUAAGUCGUAACAAGGUAGCCGUACCGGAAGGUGCGGCUGGAACACCUCCUUUCUG